rnacentral:rRNA from 1 species
UACGUAGGGACCACGCGUUGUCCGGAAUUAUUGGGCGUAAAGCGCGUGUAGGCGGUUUGUUAAGUCCGAUGUGAAAUGUCGGGGCUCAACCCCGGAACUGCAUUGGAAACUGGCUGGCUUGAGUCCGGAAGAGGAGACUGGAAUUCCUAGUGUAGCGGGGAAAUGCGCAGAUAUCAGGAAGAACACCCGUGGCGAAGGCGGGUAUCUGGGACGGUACUGACGCUGAGACGCGAAAGCGUGGGGAGCAAACAGG